GACAGAGGGGGCAAGCGUUGUCCGGAGUGACUGGGCGUACAGCGCGCGCAGGCGGGUCGCGACGUGCCGUGUAACAGCGCACUGCUCACCAGUGCGUAGCCAUGGUAGACGCGCGGUCUAGAGGCCGUGAGAGGGGAUGUGGGAAUACCCAGUGGAGCGGUGAAAUGCGUAGAGGAUUGGGUGGAACACCAGGGGCGAAGGCGGCACCUGGCACGGACCUGACGCUGGAGGCGCGGAGAGCGUGGGGAGCAAACGGGAUU
rnacentral:rRNA from 1 species